UCUUUUCGUCCAGUGGGUCUCUUAUACGAAGUAUUUUUUAACUGCGUCCGCAUUCACAGGGGAUGGAAAAUCCUCGCCAUCCAUGGAUUCGCCGGGAUGCCCAUUUUUGCCUGGACUAUUUUAUUCUUUUCGUCCAGUGGGUCUCUUAUACGAAGUAUUUUUUAACUGCGUCCGCAUUCACAGGGGAUGGAAAAUCCUCGCCAUCCAUGGUCGUUAACAACAAGGCUCCUCCAGAGAAAACCUUC
rnacentral:lncRNA from 1 species